rnacentral:rRNA from 1 species
GUUCGGUUUAUAUCCGCUGUGGACGUCAGGAAAUUUGAGAGGAUUUGCUCCUAGUACGAGAGGACCGGAGUGAACGCACCGCUGGUGUACCAAUUGUUCUACCAAGGGCAUUGUUGGGUAGCUAAGUGCGGAGCAGAUAAGCGCUGAAAGCAUAUUAAGCGCGAAACUGACCUCAAGAUGAGAUUUCCCUAUGACACCCCUGAAAGAUGAUCAGGUUGAUAGGCGCAAGGUGAAAGUGCGGUAACGUAUUGAGCCGAAGCGUACUAAUAGGUGCAUUGACUUUUUAUG